UGCCUUAUAUGCAUUGUUGUCUGCUACGCCAAGAGAAGUACUGUCUGAACUGAGAACACAAGCAAGGGGCUUCUGGGAAACAACGCAACUGAAAAUCUUCCAAUGACCGAGAAGCUCAAGUCAGGCGUUUGAAGCUCAUCAGUACAGUCCAUCCAAAAGGCUUCCCCACUUAGUGUAUUUGACAAGCUGAGUCGGACACUCGGUAUGUCAGGGUGUCAGUUUGUCAAAUACCCCAAGUGAGAGGUCACUUAUCGCCAUGGUGACGUCCCGAAGUUCCCAGGCAACCAGAUUCAAAGAUAUCGUUGGAGUCACAACCUGUAAGCUUGCAGUUAUCUCAGAGCACAGUUUGGAGCCUGAUGUUUAAUCUCUUUUCUCCAAGCUGCUUAUGAGAAAUCUGUAUGCACAGUUUAAUAUGUCAGAGUUGAAUAUUUUUGUGAUUAUAUUUAAUACAUUUAUACCAGAGGAAUCCUAUUUCUUGUCAUAUAUGUCAAUAUGAAACAUUUGAAUAAAAUCUAAAAUAACUUUAAUCAUGAUUGUAUGAUAUGCAAACUAAAAUAUUUUUUGAAAAGUAAAGUUAGAAAAAUAUAAUGAAUUAUGUAUAUAUAUUUUUUAUGAUUUUUUCUAUAAUAAAAUGUAAUCUUGGCAUGAAAUGACACCAAGAUAAUUAGGUACAUCAUAGGGUUAAUUCAUGAACUUCAAAAUGGAGGGCUAUCUGAUGUUAUUUUAUGCCAUAAGCCGUUUAAGGCUAUCAAUAAUGGCAUUUCUGGAGACUUCCCCUCGCGUGUAGGCUUUGAGUAAGAGAGGAUGUGUGUUAUCUUGUGAUCAGAUGGCUAUAUAUGGAACAUGUGUGCCAUUGUAGAAGAGAACGUGGUCAUAGAGACACUCACCACAGGCAACCAAAAGACAUGGCAGCCUUGGGUUACUACUCAGCCCUGAACUGUUAUAUUUUACUUGGAAAUGAACAUUUUAAAAGUGGUAUUGGGCCGGGGUGUCUGAGACCAACACCAUCUACCAGCCCCCACUGACAACGUGAAAUGAGUCAUAGUGAACUAGCCUUUCUGGUCCUAUGCAGUGUAGUACCUUUACUCAUUGACUUUUGAUAUUGAAAAGGGGCAUAUAUUAUGCAGUGAGUAGAGUGAAAAGGCAAUUAUUUCUUGCCCUUAUAUUAUAAACUUUAAGGUUUCACUUCCUCAACCCUGAAUUAUGUUUCUUUUGUUCUUUCCAUUCUUAUUUCUCUGCAGUGGGACAGGAUACUUUCGAUUUUGUUAUGUCCAUGAAAUAUCCACAUUAAUAUUUCAGUUAUUUCUUACUCUGUUAGUAUAUAAUAAACUAUUUAUUAAUCUUGAUUCA